rnacentral:snoRNA from 1 species
AAUCCAUGAUUUGGGCAUUCUUUUAGCAUCAUUUUGAAUUGCUCCUAUGCUUCAUAGAAAGGUUCAUUUGGUCUUUUCCUGAAUAUGGAAAUAUCAAAUUUAGAUU